rnacentral:rRNA from 1 species
CUACGGGAUGCAGCAGUGGGGAAUAUUGCACAACGGGCGAAAGCCUGAUGCAGCAACGCCGCGUGAGGGACGACGGCCUUCGGGUUGUAAACCUCUUUUAGCAGGGAAGAAGCGAAAGUGACGGUACCUGCAGAAAAAGCACCGGCUAACUACGUGCCAGCAGCCGCGGUAAUACGUAGGGUGCAAGCGUUGUCCGGAAGUAUUGGGCGUAAAGAGCUCGUAGGCGGUUUGUCGCGUCUGCUGUGAAAAUCCGAGGCUCAACCUCGGACCUGCAGUGGGUACGGGCAAACUAGAGUGCGGUAGGGGAGAUUGGAAUUCCUGGUGUAGCGGUGGAAUGCGCAGAUAUCAGGAGGAACACCAAUGGCGAAGGCAGAUCUCUGGGCCGUAACUGACGCUGAGGAGCGAAAGCGUGGGGAGCGAACAGGAUUAGAUACCCCGGUAGUC